rnacentral:rRNA from 1 species
UGGGGAAUCUUGCGCAAUGGCCUAACGGCUGACGCAGCGACGCCGCGUGAGGGAUGACGCUCUUCGGAGUGUAAACCUCUUUUGCCUGAGACGAAUUGCCAGCUUUAGCUGGUUUGACUGUAUCGGGUGAAUAAGCACCGGCUAACUCCGUGCCAGCAGCCGCGGUAAUACGGGGGGUGCGAGCGUUGUCCGGAAUCACUGGGCGUAAAGGGCGCGUAGGUGGCCUGAUAAGGGUGUGGUGAAAGUCCGGGGCCCAACCCCGGAUCGGCCGUGCCGACUGUUGGGCUAGAGUACUGUAGGGGCAGGCGGAAUUCCGGGUGUAGCGGUGGAAUGCGUAGAGAUCCGGAGGAAGACCGGUGGCGAAGGCGGCCUGCUGGGCAGUUACUGACACUGAGGCGCGACAGCGUGGGGAGCAAACAG